rnacentral:rRNA from 1 species
UACGGAGGCAGCAGUGGGGAAUUUUGGACAAUGGGCGCAAGCCUGAUCCAGCCAUGCCGCGUGUCUGAAGAAGGCCUUCGGGUUGUAAAGGACUUUUGUCAGGGAAGAAAAGGGCGGGGUUAAUACCCCUGUCUGAUGACGGUACCUGAAGAAUAAGCACCGGCUAACUACGUGCCAGCAGCCGCGGUAAU